rnacentral:rRNA from 2 species
UACAGAGGUCUCAAGCGUUGUUCGGAAUCACUGGGCGUAAAGGGUGCGUAGGUGGCGUGGUAAGUCAGAUGUGAAAGCCCGGGGCUCAACCUCGGAAUUGCAUCCGAUACUGCUAUGCUUGAGUACUGGAGAGGUGACUAGAAUUCUAGGUGUAGCAGUGAAAUGCGUAGAUAUCUAGAGGAAUACCAAAGGCGUAGGCAGGUCACUGGACAGUUACUGACACUGAGGCACGAAGGCCAGGGGAGCGAACGGG